GCAGCAGCUGGCGCAGGGCGUCCAGCUCGGCGCGCAGCUCCGCGCGCAGCGCCUCCAGCCCCACGCCCAGCUCGGCGCGCACAGCCGCCAGGCCCUCCUGCAGCCGCCGCUCGCUCACCUCCAGGACGCCGGCCGGGCCAAGAAAUAAGAAUUCGAACCAAAGAUUCAAAUCUGAAGCAAAUUUUUUCUGAAGACUUUUCCCCCUGGACCAGCACAAAAGCUCAAGUCAGAUGACAUUUUGUAAUCCCCAAGUGAAGUCUCAGAUUUUGGUGACUACUUAGGGUGUCACUGGAGAUUUCUCCUGAUGUACAACCUAUUGAUCCCACAAGUCUACGCAUUACCCAGUGCUCACCACAAUAAAUAUGGUUACCAUCUGUCUUAACUAUAUGUCAUUACAACAUUAUUGACUAUAUUCUCUAUGUUGUACUUUUCAUCUCCAUGACUUAUUUAUUUUAUAACUGUGUUAUUAUGAUAUUAUUAACUAUAUUCUCUACGCUGUGCUUUUC